GUGAGGAAUUUUCCGCAAUGGGCGAAAGCCUGACGGAGCAAUGCCGCGUGAAGGAUGAAGGCCUAUGGGUUGUAAACUUCUUUUCUCAGAAAAGAAUUAUGACGGUAUCUGAGGAAUAAGCAUCGGCUAACUCUGUGCCAGCAGCCGCGGUAAGACAGAGGAUGCAAGCGUUAUCCGGAAUGAUUGGGCGUAAAGCGUCUGUAGGUUGUUUAAAAAGUAUUCUGUCAAAGAUUAGGGCUUAACCCUAGAUAGGCAGAAUAAACUUUUAAGCUAGAGUUUGGUAGAGGCAGAGGGAAUUCCCGGUGGAGCGGUGAAAUGCGUAGAUAUCGUGAGGAACACCAAAGGCGAAGGCACUCUGCUGGGCCAAUACUAACACUGAGAGACGAAAGCGAGGGGAGCAAAUGGGAUUAGAAACCCGAGUAGUCC
rnacentral:rRNA from 1 species